UCUCGGUUCCUCUUCUUUCUCAUAAUACACCAUAGCAAGUUUAGUCUUUUUUCUUUGUGCCCUGCCGGAAACAAAAUGUUAGUGAGACAAGAUUUUGUGGCAUCUUUCAUAAUUGUGCUAUCCCCAAAAUAUAAGACAUCGGCCAAUCGGAGCCACUGGUGGUGGACAUGAGACUUUCUGCUCCGGAGAAAAUACACGGAACAGUUUGCGACUUUGCAGGUUCCUUCUCUUCUAUUUUUAAAUUAUCUUAACUCUUUUUACUCAAUUUUGUUGCUAUUUACUUUUGGAACAAUUAGAGGAUAUCACGAAUUCUCUAGAUAUUGAAAUUAGAACUUGUGAGAUAUAUACAAAUAGGCAAGGGUUGAUUGAAGUGUUGGUCAAUCUUUUGAGGCUUAGUUGAAAAUUCAAUCAUCUUAUUUCAAAGGAGACGUUUUUCCGUGGUUAGACUGAUUUAUUGUUAUAUCUGGACUUCUCAUAGCUUUCUUUUUCCUUUUAUUUAUGCUCUUUCUUGCUAUUUUGUUUUUUUCUUAAGUGUUGGCCGUUUUCGGUUUGCCAUAGGUGGUCUCAAAUUUACUUGGACAAGGUUGUAGUAGGUUUGGAUGCUCAAAAUAUUAAAUUCAUUAAAAUUGUUAAAAGGACCUUUCUUUUGACCUUCCCUAUAACUGUUAACAUUCAUUACAAUCAUAAACAAUUAACAUAUACUAAUUUAAUUGAGUUAUUUCACAUUUAACAUUUGUUUUGUCAAUAAAAUUAUAUAGGAUGUUAAAAUCCAUUAAAAGUAGGUAAAGCAUGACAGGACGUUUGACAUUAUUUUCUUUUAUUAAAUUUAAAUUUUAAUAUUUUAACUAUUUUCUAAGAUGGAGAAAGAUAAGCUUUCAUGAAUGCUUCAAACAAGUUACGCCUUGAAAGAGAUUAUGAAACAAUCACACAUGUCACAGAAAUAUCAACAUUAAAAUAUAAUUUCUAUUAAACUCUAUGUUGCAGACCUGAAAUAUUGUGAUGUAUUAUUCUUGCGUACCAACUUUUCUUUUGAUGUUGAAUCGUAUUUUCAAAACACUCAAAUAUAAUAUUGACGCAUCAGACUGUUUUCCUUAUUAGGAAUUCAUUUCCCUUUUUAACCCAAGUGAUUGUCUUGGCCAUCUGAUGACGUAUUCUUCUUCUAAUAGGAUGUUGAACUAAACAAAUGAUGGUCACACAUAACAGAGUGGAGACUAUGCCGUUCAAAACGAGCAAGUUAAAAAAGGUAUAGACGAACAGU
rnacentral:lncRNA from 1 species